UGGGGAAUAUUGGACAAUGGGCGCAAGCCUGAUCCAGCCAUGCCGCGUGAGUGAUGAAGGCCCUAGGGUUGUAAAGCUCUUUCACCGGUGAAGAUAAUGACGGUAACCGGAGAAGAAGCCCCGGCUAACUUCGUGCCAGCAGCCGCGGUAAUACGAAGGGGGCUAGCGUUGUUCGGAUUUACUGGGCGUAAAGCGCACGUAGGCGGACUUUUAAGUCAGGGGUGAAAUCCCGGGGCUCAACCCCGGAACUGCCUUUGAUACUGGAAGUCUUGAGUAUGGUAGAGGUGAGAGGAAUUCCGAGUGUAGAGGUGAAAUUCGUAGAUAUUCGGAGGAACACCAGUGGCGAAGGCGGCUCACUGGACCAUUACUGACGCUGAGGUGCGAAAGCGUGGGGAGCAAACAGG
rnacentral:rRNA from 1 species